GGGAGGGAGGGAGGGAGGGAGAUGAGGGUUGAGGAGACAGUGGGUUUUGUAUGGGUCCUCUCUCCUGAAUGCGGAGUCCCUUUUCAGUGAAAUUCAAAUCAAGCAUCCAGUGUUACUGAGGGGUAGAGGCCAAAGUCCUCACACAAAACCAACCAUUCAUAGUUAGCGUCAUACAGUCAAAAAGUUAAACAUACACAACAAUACCUACAAUAACUAAAUCUCUCUUAGGGACAAACGACCCAAACACCAUGAACAAAUGUAACCACGUUGUAAUCGCUAUAAAUAUUGAACUGUAGAGAUACUUUCUUCACCAGUGACGUCACAUUAAGCUGGACAGGUAUUCUUAUCCUGGACAGGUAUUCUUAUCCUGGACAGGUAUUCUUAUCCUGGGCAGGUAUUCUUAUCCUGGACAGGUAUUCUUAUCCUGGACAGGUAUUCUUAUCCUGGACAGGUAUUCUUAUCCUGGACAGGUAUUCUUAUCCUGGACAGGUAUUCUUAUCCUGGACAGGUAUUCUUAUCCUGGACAGGUAUUCUUAUCCUGGACAGGUAUUCUUAUCCUGGACAGGUAUUCUUAUCCUGGACAGGUAUUCUUAUCCUGGACAGUUAUUCUUAUCCUGGACAGUUAUUCUUAUCCUGGACAGUUAUUCUUAUCCUGGACAGUUAUUCUUAUCCUGGACAGGUAUUCUUAUCCUGGACAGGUAUUCUUAUCCUGGACAGUUAUUCUUAUCCUGGACAGUUAUUCUUAUCCUGGACAGUUAUUCUUAUCCUGGACAGUUAUUCUUAU